CCCAGAUGUUCUGUUGCUGUUCAAUCACAGAUUUCUCACUGUAGCUAAAUGAGAAGUCUUUGCAAGGCAGGUGUUCUGAACAAUUGUCUGCCUCUUAAAGUUAGCUCCACUGAGCUGAGCAAACCAGGAAGUAACAUGACUGGUUGUCUGAUUGACAGCCGUGGGGUUGUAACAAGGUUGAUUUAUAAAAUUGUCACUUUUUUAAAAUGAAAAAAGAGGACACAUUUUUCACACAUUAAGCAUUUCAGCAAACUAAAGUGCUUUAGGGGUCUGGAGUGCCCC